GAAACGACUUUCGGCAACCGAUAUCUCGUCUCUCGCAUCGAUGAAGAACGCAGCGAAAUGCGAUACUUGGUGUGAAUUGCAGAAUCCCGUGAACCAUCGAGUCUUUGAACGCAAGUUGCGCCCAAAGCCAUCAGGCUAAGGGCACGUCUGCCUGGGCGUCACACACC
rnacentral:rRNA from 1 species